rnacentral:rRNA from 1 species
GGGUUGUGAGGUUAAGCGACUAAGCGUACACGGUGGAUGCCCUGGCAGUCAGAGGCGAUGAAGGACGUGCUAAUCUGCGAUAAGCGUCGGUGAGGUGAUAUGAACCGUUAUAACCGGCGAUUUCCGAAUGGGGAAACCCAGUGUGUUUCGACACACUAUCAUUAACUGAAUCCAUAGGUUAAUGAGGCGAACCGGGGGAACUGAAACAUCUAAGUACCCCGAGGAAAAGAAAUCAACCGAGAUUCCCCCAGUAGCGGCGAGCGAACGGGGAGGAGCCCAGAGCCUGAAUCAGUGUGUGUGUUAGUGGAAGCGUCUGGAAAGGCGCGCGAUACAGGGUGACAGCCCCGUACACAAAAAUGCACAUAUUGUGAGCUCGAUGAGUAGGGCGGGACACGUGGUAUCCUGUCUGAAUAUGGGGGGACCAUCCUCCAAGGCUAAAUACUCCUGACUGACCGAUAGUGAACCAGUACCGUGAGGGAAAGGCGAAAAGAACCCCGGCGAGGGGAGUGAAAAAGAACCUGAAACCGUGUACGUACAAGCAGUGGGAGCCUCUUUUAUGGGGUGACUGCGUACCUUUUGUAUAAUGGGUCAGCGACUUAUAUUCUGUAGCAAGGUUAACCGAAUAGGGGAGCCGAAGGGAAACCGAGUCUUAACUGGGCGUUAAGUUGCAGGGUAUAGACCCGAAACCCGGUGAUCUAGCCAUGGGCAGGUUGAAGGUUGGGUAACACUAACUGGAGGACCGAACCGACUAAUGUUGAAAAAUUAGCGGAUGACUUGUGGCUGGGGGUGAAAGGCCAAUCAAACCGGGAGAUAGCUGGUUCUCCCCGAAAGCUAUUUAGGUAGCGCCUCGUGAAUUCAUCUCCGGGGGUAGAGCACUGUUUCGGCAAGGGGGUCAUCCCGACUUACCAACCCGAUGCAAACUGCGAAUACCGGAGAAUGUUAUCACGGGAGACACACGGCGGGUGCUAACGUCCGUCGUGAAGAGGGAAACAACCCAGACCGCCAGCUAAGGUCCCAAAGUCAUGGUUAAGUGGGAAACGAUGUGGGAAGGCCCAGACAGCCAGGAUGUUGGCUUAGAAGCAGCCAUCAUUUAAAGAAAGCGUAAUAGCUCACUGGUCGAGUCGGCCUGCGCGGAAGAUGUAACGGGGCUAAACCAUGCACCGAAGCUGCGGCAGCGACGCUUAUGCGUUGUUGGGUAGGGGAGCGUUCUGUAAGCCUGUGAAGGUGUGCUGUGAGGCAUGCUGGAGGUAUCAGAAGUGCGAAUGCUGACAUAAGUAACGAUAAAGCGGGUGAAAAGCCCGCUCGCCGGAAGACCAAGGGUUCCUGUCCAACGUUAAUCGGGGCAGGGUGAGUCGACCCCUAAGGCGAGGCCGAAAGGCGUAGUCGAUGGGAAACAGGUUAAUAUUCCUGUACUUGGUGUUACUGCGAAGGGGGGACGGAGAAGGCUAUGUUGGCCGGGCGACGGUUGUCCCGGUUUAAGCGUGUAGGCUGGUUUUCCAGGCAAAUCCGGAAAACCAAGGCUGAGGCGUGAUGACGAGGCACUACGGUGCUGAAGCGACAAAUGCCCUGCUUCCAGGAAAAGCCUCUAAGCAUCAGGUAACAUCAAAUCGUACCCCAAACCGACACAGGUGGUCAGGUAGAGAAUACCAAGGCGCUUGAGAGAACUCGGGUGAAGGAACUAGGCAAAAUGGUGCCGUAACUUCGGGAGAAGGCACGCUGAUAUGUAGGUGAAGCGACUUGCUCGUGGAGCUGAAAUCAGUCGAAGAUACCAGCUGGCUGCAACUGUUUAUUAAAAACACAGCACUGUGCAAACACGAAAGUGGACGUAUACGGUGUGACGCCUGCCCGGUGCCGGAAG